rnacentral:rRNA from 1 species
GGCGCUAGAGGUGAAAUUCUUGGACCGUCGCAAGACGAACUACUGCGAAAGCAUUUGCCAAGAAUGUUUUCAUUGAUCAAGAACGAAAGUCAGAGGUUCGAAGGCGAUCAGAUACCGCCCUAGUUCUGACCAUAAACGAUGCCAACCAGCGAUCCGCCUGAGUUACUCAAAUGACUCGGCGGGCAGCUUCCGGGAAACCAAAGUAUUUGGGUUCCGGGGGAAGUAUGGUUGCAAAGCUGAAACUUAAAGGAAUUGACGGAAGGGCACCACCAGGAGUGGAGCCUGCGGCUUAAUUUGACUCAACACGGGAAAACUUACCCGGCCCGGACACUGGGAGGAUUGACAGAUUGAGAGCUCUUUCUUGAUUCGGUGGAUGGUGGUGCAUGGCCGUUCUUAGUUGGUGGAGCGAUUUGUCUGGUUAAUUCCGAUAACGAACGAGACUCUAGCCUAUUAAAUAGGUGCGGGGUUCCCAGCACCUUACAACCUUCUUAGAGGGACAAGCGGCUCCUAGCCGCACGAAACAGAGCAAUAACAGGUCUGUGAUGCCCUUAGAUGUCCGGGGCCGCACGCGCGCUACACUGAAGGAAGCAGCGUGUCUUUAUCCCUGUCUGAAAAGACUGGGUAACCCGUGGAACUUCUUUCGUGAUUGGGAUAGGGGCUUGCAAUUGUUCCCCUUGAACGAGGAAUUCCCAGUAAGCGCGAGUCAUAAGCUCGCGUUGAUUACGUCCCUGCCCUUUGUACACACCGCCCGUCGCUACUACCGAUUGAAUGAUUUAGUGAGGUCU